GCCUAAAGCGUCCGUAGCCGGCUUUGUAAGUUUUCGGUUAAAUCUAUAUGCUCAACAUAUAGGCUGCCGGGAAUACUGCAAAGCUAGGGAGUGGGAGAGGUAGACGGUACUCCGUAGGAAGGGGUAAAAUCCUUUGAUCUAUGGAUGACCACCUGUGGCGAAGGCGGUCUACCAGAACACGUCUGACGGUGAGGGAUGAAAGCUGGGGGAGCAAACCGGAUUAGAUACCCGGGUAGUCCCAGCUGUAAACUAUGCAAACUCAGUGAUGCAUUGGCUUGUGGCCAGUGCAGUGCCGCAGAGAAGUCGUUAAGUUUGCCGCCUGGGAAGUACGUACGCAAGUAUGAAACUUAAAGGAAUUGGCGGGGGAGCACCACAAGGGGUGAAGCCUGCGGUUCAAUUGGAGUCAACGCCAGAAAUCUUACCCGAAGAGACAGCAGGAUGAAGGUCAAGCUGAAGACUUUACCAGACAAGCUGAGAAGUGGUGCAUGGCCGUCGCCAGCUCGUGCCGUGAGGUGUCCUGUUAAGUCAGGUAACGAGCGAGAUCCUUGCCUCUAGUUGCUACCAUUACUCUCAGGAGUAGUGGGGCGAAUUAGCGGGACUGCCGUAGUUAAUACGGAGGAAGGAGAGGGCCACGGCAGGUCAGUAUGCCCCGAA
rnacentral:rRNA from 1 species